AUUGAACGCUGGCGGCAGGCCUAACACAUGCAAGUCGAACGAGUGGCGGACGGGUGAGUAAUGUCUGGGAAACCGCCUGAUGGAGGGGGAUAACUACUGGAAACGGUAGCUAAUACCGCAUACCAUCGGAUGUGCCCAGAUGGGAUUAGCUAGUAGGUAGGGUAAAGGCUCACCUAGGCGACGAUCCCUAGCUGGUCUGAGAGGUUGACCGGCCACACUGGAACUGAGACACGGCCCAGACUCCUACGGGAGGCAGCAGUUGGGAAUAUUGCACAAUGGGCGCAAGCCUGAUGCAGCAAUGCCGCGUGUAUGAAGAAGGCCUUCGGGUUGUAAAGUACUUUCGGCGGUGAGGCGUUACCCGCAGAAGAAGCACCGGCUAACUCCGUGCCAGCAGCCGCGGUAAUAC
rnacentral:rRNA from 1 species